AUUGAACGCUGGCGGCAUGCCUAACACAUGCAAGUCGAACGGCAGCACGGUUAAGUAUUUGUACUUAAUGGGUGGCGAGUGGCGAACGGGUGAGUAAUGCGCAGGAAUAUGCCUUAAAGAGGGGGAUAACUUGGGGAAACUCAAGCUAAUACCGCAUAAGCUCUGAGGAGUAAAGCUGGGGACCUUCGGGCCUGGCGCUUUAAGAAUAGCCUGCGUCCGAUUAGCUAGUUGGUAGGGUAAAGGCCUACCAAGGCGACGAUCGGUAGCUGGUCUGAGAGGAUGAACAGCCACACUGGGACUGAGACACGGCCCAGACUCCUACGGGAGGCAGCAGUGGGGAAUAUUGGACAAUGGGGGCAACCCUGAUCCAGCAAUGCCGCGUGUGUGAAGAAGGCCCGAGGGUUGUAAAGCACUUUCAGUGGGGAGGAGGGUUGAUUGGUUAAGAGCUGAUUAAUUGGACGUUACCUACAGAAGAAGCACCGGCUAACUCCGUGCCAGCAGCCGCCGCUG
rnacentral:rRNA from 1 species